rnacentral:rRNA from 1 species
AUGGCGAACUACCGGCUCGGCGGCGGUGGCAACGGGCACUACGAGAUGGCGGCAGCAGCGGCUGCGGCAUGGAGGGAGCCGGAGAGCCCGCAGCUGAGCCUCAUGAGUGGGUGCAGCUCCCUCUUCUCCAUCUCCGGCCUGCGGGACGACGACACCGACCUCCACCUCCUCGCCGGCGCGCGCUCGCUGCCGUCCACGCCGGUCUCGUUUGGCGGGUUUCCUGGCGGCUAUGAGGUCGACAUGGAGCUGCGGCAGGGCGGUGGCAGCAGCGGCGAGGACCCGAGGACCAUCCGGAUGAUGCGGAACAGGGAGUCCGCGCUGCGCUCAAGGGCCAGGAAGAGGGCAUAUGUGGAGGAACUGGAGAAGGAGGUUCGGCGCCUGGUGGAUGACAACCUCAAGCUGAAGAAGCAGUGCAAAGAGCUGAAGCGGGAAGUGGCCGCCCUCAUCCUGCCUACCAAGAGCUCUCUCCGGCGAACCUCAUCCACUCAGUUCUGA